UAAAAAAAAAAAAAAAAAAAGCAAAGAGGAGGAAAAAAAUAGGUGCAAUAGCAAACAGUAGCAAAUAAGAGAUCCCAAAAAACCGAUAGUAAAAAAAGCAAACUAGGUUAGAGAAAUAGGUAGGGUAGAGGCGUGAUGUACAAGGAAGAUCACUGGAAAGGUUAACGGCCAGAAAAAUUGCUGGAAAAGGAAUCCAUGUGCUAGUGUGUGAGAAAGGGCACAAGGUUGUGAUGGUGUGUGGGGCCACGCGCUAUGUUGGAAGACGAUGGGUUUCUGACGGUAGGUUGAUCAGCGGCCUGGCUUUCAACUCCCUCUUGUGUUGUCUAGAACUUGACCUCUUACACCCUAAAAAACACACAUGAAACCUUAUGCCUUAAAAUCAGUGGCAAGGCUCUGAUACCACUUGUUAAUGAUUCGGAGAGACCAAAGCGCCUGAGAGAAUCUUUCUUGGUGGGCCUUGUGAAAGAACACACUCAUGGGUUUGACUCCACAUUCACCCAAAAAUCUUAAGGCAAUGGGUUAUGAGUUCUUCUCACUUAUAUGUCCUUUACUCAUCCCAUCUCUUCUCGAUGUGGGAAUUCUAGUACUUGAAUAUUCAUG
rnacentral:misc_RNA from 1 species